rnacentral:rRNA from 1 species
CUGGCGGCGUGCUUCAUGCAUGCAAGUCGAGGGAGAACCAUUUUGUUCGUAAGGUCGAGAUGGGGAAACCGGCGAACGGGUGCGUAACACGUGAGAAACCUGCCCUGAAGACCGGGAUAGCCCAGGGAAACCUGGAUUAAUACCGGAUACCUUCGUUGGAUCGCAUGUUCUAACGAAGAAAUGGAUUCCGCUUCAGGAUGGUCUCGCGGCCUAUCAGCUUGUUGGUGAGGUAACGGCUCACCAAGGCUCCGACGGGUAGCUGGUCUGAGAGGACGAUCAGCCACACUGGGACUGAGACACGGCCCAGACUCCUACGGGAGGCAGCAGCAGGGAAUAUUGCACAAUGGGCGCAAGCCUGAUGCAGCAACGCCGCGUGCGGGAUGAAGGCCUCGGGUUGUAAACCGCUUUCAGUAGGGAAGAAAAUGACGGUACCUACAGAAGAAGCCCCGGCCAACUACGUG